UCCCACCAUUUAAACAGGGAUGAAUGACA
rnacentral:piRNA from 1 species